CCUACGGGAGGCAGCAGUGGGGAAUAUUGGGCAAUGGACACAAGUCUGACCCAGCAACGCCGCGUGAAGGACGAAGGCUUUCGGGUUGUAAACUUCUUUUUAGGGGGAAGUGCAGAAGCCGGUACCCCUUGCAUAAGCCACGGCUAACUACGUGCCAGCAGCCGCGGUAAUACGUAGGUGGCAAGCGUUGUCCGGAUUUACUGGGUGUAAAGGGCGUGCAGCCGGAGAGACAAGUCAGCUGUGAAAUCCACCGGCGCAACCUUUGAACUGCAUUUGAAACUGUUUCCCGUGAGUAUCGGAGAGGUCAUCGGAAUGCCUGGUGUAGCGGUGAAAGGCGUAGAUAUAUGGAAGAACACCAGUUGCGAAAGCGGCUCUCUGGACUGUAACUGACGCUGAGGUUCGAAAGCGUGGGUAGCAAACAGGAUUAGAUACCCGAGUAGUC
rnacentral:rRNA from 1 species